GCAGCCCUGCUAUGUUCGUGUAACACCCAAAGUUUUGAGCUAACACUAUUUAAAAGGGAGCCCGGCUCUAUCUGUCCAGUAUAUGCCUUUUCGAAGAGGACAUACAAAGCAGGCAGGAGGGCACCCACCUGGGGAGAGCAGUUCAAAACGAACGGUCCACGGCAUGGUGGGGUUUUU
rnacentral:other from 1 species